CUAAUAUUAAUUCCACCAAGUGAAGUGCAAGAACUAAGUUAUUCAAGUCCACCUUAUCACAACCCGCACACCCGAUUACCUAUAUAUACAUGAACGUACGGUUACAGCUCAAUAGCUGGCCUGUGUAGCUCAGUUGGUUAGAGCGCUGCUUCGGAAUCGCAGGGCCGUAGGUUCGAUUCCUACCAGAGAAUCUUGUGCUGCAUUUUUCCCAGUCGUUCCUGG